rnacentral:rRNA from 1 species
CCUACGGGUGGCUGCAGUGGGGAAUAUUGCACAAUGGGGGAAACCCUGACCCAGCCAAGUAGCGUGCGGGAUGAAGGCCCUACGGGUCGUAAACCGCUUUUGCACGGGGAUAACACCCUCCACUUGUGGAGGUCUGCAGGUACCGUGCGAAUAAGGGCCGGCUAAUUCCGUGCCAGCAGCCGCGGUAAUACGGAAGGCCCGAGGGUUAUCCGGAUUCAUUGGGCUUAAAGGGAGCGUAGGCGGGCGUUCAAGUCAGCUGUAAAAUCGCGCGGCGCAACCGCGCCCCGCAGUUGAAACUGGACGCCUUGAGUGCACAACAGGCAGGCGGAAUUCGUGGUGUAGCGGUGAAAUGCAUAGAUAUCACGAGGAACCCCGAUUGCGAAGGCAGCCUGCCGGGGUGCGACUGACGCUGAGGCUCGAAGGUGCGGGUAUCAAACAGGAUUAGAUACCCUUGUAGUC